rnacentral:sRNA from 1 species
UUGCAGUGAGCUGAGACUGCGCCACUGCACUCCAGCCUGGGUGACAGAGCGAGACUCUGUCUAAGAAAAAAAAAAGAAAAGAAGAAAGAAGAUGGCCUGGGAGCCCGCAAGAGCAUUUUCUAGGCUUAGGGCAUCCUUUGGGUCUGCAGAAGGCUAUGCAGUGUCCUCCUCAUGUCCCUCCCUUGGGCUGCCCGAGCAGAUCCGCCCGCCCCCAUCACUUCCUGAAGCCCUUCCUCAGCCAGUCCAGUUGCUGUCUUCUCUCCGCAGUGCCCCUUCCCUUCCCCGGGUCCCUCUUCUCUUGGGAAGUUCUUCUGCAGGUCUACCCAGUGCCUCUCCUUCCUCCAUGGGAAGCCAAGGGUCUCACCCAGACUGUUCUCUCCUCAGGACAAAAAAGCCAGAGACAUACUUGAUGCCCAAAGAUGGCAAGAGUACCGCAACAGACAUCACCGGCCCCAUCAUCCUGCAGACGUACCGCGCCAUUGCCGACUACGAGAAGACCUCGGGCUCCGAGAUGGCUCUGUCCACGGGGGACGUGGUGGAGGUCGUGGAGAAGAGCGAGAGCGGUCAGACCUCCCACCUUACGGGGCUCCUUCCCCUGGUGCUCAGGAACCCACAGCCACAAGCCCCCUGCCAAGGCUCAGGCAGCCUGGCCCCUGGGAGGACUCCGGCUCUGUUAGGGGCCCUAAAUGUCCUCCCCACACUGUGGGUCGCCUUCUCUCUUAGUGUGCACCCUGUGGUGGCUGUGGGCAUCUGUGCAUGGCAGGCCGGGGCGGGGCAUGUCUGUGUGUUCUGUCUGGAUGGGUAUGGGACCGUCUGUUCAUUAUGAAGUGGGCUCAGAGCUGUGAUUCUGUGAGCAUGUGUGCAUGCAUGCAUGUGACCUCAUUGUCCAGUGUGGUGAAGGUGACAU